GACGAACGCUGGCGGCGUGCCUAACACAUGCAAGUCGAACGGAACUGUUUUGAAAGAUUUCUUCGGAAUGAAUUUGAUUUAGUUUAGUGGCGGACGGGUGAGUAACGCGUGAGUAACCUGCCUUCAAGAGGGGAAUAACAUUCUGAAAAGAAUGCUAAUACCGAAUGACAUAUCGGAACCACAUGGUUUUGAAAUCAAAGAUUUUAUCGCUUGAAGAUGGACUCGCGUCCGAUUAGUUAGUUGGUGAGGUAACGGCUCACCAAGACCGCGAUCGGUAGCCGGACUGAGAGGUUGAACGGCCACAUUGGGACUGAGACACGGCCCAGACUCCUACGGGAGGCAGCAGUGGGGGAUAUUGCGCAAUGGGGGCAACCCUGACGCAGCAACGCCGCGUGAAGGAUGAAGGUUUUCGGAUUGUAAACUUCUUUUAUUAAGGACGAAAAAUGACGGUACUUAAUGAAUAAGCUCCGGCUAACUACGUG
rnacentral:rRNA from 1 species